rfam:Populus trichocarpa scaffold_1_contig_781, whole genome shotgun sequence.
UAAUCUAUUUAAUGUAUAUCUUUAUUUAAUUAUAAUAUAUCAGUACUUAACUACUCCAAAUCACCCGAUAUUCCAAGCAUAACUGAUCAAUACUUCAAAAUUAUGAUAAUAACCACUUUUAUCCAUACA